UCGCAGUUCAGUUCAAGUUCAGCUCAAUCAGCUGAAAAUAUAGCAACUUAUAUAUAUAUACACACACAGAUUUUUCGAUUUGGCAACUGCGUUUGGCCGAGCUCAGAUGACCAAAGUGGGAGCAACUGCAAGCUGAACUGAGCGGGGCACUCAUGGCUGGUGGGCUUCAACAGCGAUCAAGCAUCCAUCCAGCUAAUCACAACAGCAAUAUACACAGGCGCUCAGAGGCCAAACAUUUCCCUGUGCUCUAUCAAGGACCAAAUCAAAGCUGGUCGUGUGGCAUUUUCUUUGAAGACUUUCAAUGAUCGCAAUUGUUACGUUAUUGGGUUGGUAACGUCACAAUUUCGAACAAUGGAGUAUAUGCUUAAAGUCGCACUAUGGAAAGGGAAGAGCCCAAUGGAUCUGGCGCUGGUGGGUGAUGUGAGUGUCUGUUAAAAUGUCAGCGGCCAAGGCGAGUUGGAUUAGCUUCAUUAGUUGAAACUCAGCUACGAAAUCCACUUAGAAGAUCUCAAGCAAUGGAGAGCCAGGAGAUUAUGCAAUCGCCACAUCAGCGCUAUAUCGAGUUAGUUCAUAAAAUUAUUUACCAAUUUUAUGAUUUUAUUUAUGUAAUAAAUAUUUGAGUC